ensembl:lncRNA
GAUGUGAAAACACGAGGGAGAGACAAAGCCGACGAGCCGUGAGGACGCGUGUUUGGGAGGGAGUGAGAUGCUUACGUGUGGUUACAGAAAAGCCUGUAAUUUAUGUGCUCGUGUGAACCAGAAAUGAAUUCUGGGACUGCCGCAAGGAUUAACCCCGGGACGACCUCGGCUGCAAAGACACGGCUAGCUGCAGCUUCGCCAAAAAGAAGCCAAACGGAGGCCGUGCACCUGUCAAGCGCCUCAUGGCCUAAGUGUCAGCUUCCCACCUAAUGAUGACGUUUUUCUCCAUGCAUUAAUGAGGAAAAUACAUCAGUGUAAAGUGAGUGCGGAUUUUUCCCUGCAGACAUGCUCUUCAUCGACCACUGUCCUUCAUUGGCACAUGCUCUUCACUGGCAGGAGGAGCAGCCACUGUCUUCCUCAAGGGCGGACGUGUGUUAUUACAUCUGAUAAGUUAUCACUCUCAAACAGAACUAAUUUCUUUAAAAUGGAAAAGACAAACUGAGCCAAGAUGUGCUGUGCAAACGAGAUCUGUUUAUUUGAGGAGUUUGAGUUUUGCACCGGCCACAGCUGCGUCUACUGAUGAUUACAUCAGGGAAUCCUGGGAGAAUCUUACUCCCCGCUUUACUUCUAUCAGUCUAAUAAGAAGCCAAAAAUGUGUCUGUCUAAGAAGAAGAAAAAAAACUAGUAUCCUCGCUCUGCAUUACACAGACAUAUUUUCACUUUUCAGUCUUUCUGGCUACGAAAUUGAAGAAUGUAUUACCAAUACCAAUUGUGAAAAAAAUUAACAAAUAUGUGAAGUUGUAUCUUGAGUUUUAUAAUCUCAGGAGAUUUAAAUGCAGUAGUAGAGAAGAGUUUCUGGAAAUCCUCCUCUUCCAUUUAAGAAAAUCUUAUGAGGCCAAGAAUAAGGAUGAUCAUUUUUUUCAUUACAAAUAUUUUGUGUUAAAACGAACAUAAAAUAGACUCAUUGGCUUAAACUGCUGUCAUCUUUCAAGAUGGUUUCCUGUUAGUCCUGCUGAUCAUAAUACACAAUGAACUACCCUCCUCGCCGAGGAGGCAUUAAGUGAUGGACAGAUUAAAAUCCCACAGGAUCAUGAUCACAGCUUAUCUCCGGUCCGCAAAGGUCCUUGCAGAUGCCAUUUGGGGGAGGCUGUUUACCAAGCUCCUCACUAAUACCACAACUACACGGUUCACCGUGGGUGAUAAGGGUGGGGAUUCAACCCCCAACCCCUGAAACGUGAAUCCAAAAUGUAAACGUGAACUCGAUGAGGCUACUGACAAAUGGUGUUCUUUUUAUCGUUAAUAGUUAAAGUUAAUAGGAUUUAUCUACAAA